UAUAAGCCCCCUCAUCUACUCUCCUUCCUCGCUAGCAUUCAUUAACCUUCCCAUGCAACAGGCAUGUAAUCCGCAUUCCGACACAAGCAAUGGCUGGUAAUCAUCAAAAUGCAAUGCCAUUUCCGCCCAUGACUUAAAUGCAAAAGCAACAUUCCAUUUCACUUUAUAGCCACUUCAACUUGUCAUGUACACUAAAUCACAAGAACCAAACAACUAUUAAACGAUUCGGGUAUUCUCUAGUAUGAUCAUUAGAUAACAAUUCCUAUCCGCAGGAGAUAG
rnacentral:misc_RNA from 1 species